rnacentral:rRNA from 1 species
UGGAUCUGCGGCCGAUUAGGUAGUUGUUGGGGUAAUGGCCCAACAAGCCAGUAAUCGGUACGGGUUGUGGGAGCAAGAGCCCGGAGUUGGAUUCUGAGACACGAAUCCAGGCCCUACGGGGCGCAGCAGGCGCGAAAACUUUACAAUGCGGGCAACCGUGAUAAGGGAACCUCGAGUGCCUGUAAACGCAGGCUGUUCAGGUGUCUAAAACACACCUGGAGAAAGGGCCGGGCAAGACCGGUGCCAGCCGCCGCGGUAAUACCGGCGGCUCGAGUGGUGGCCACUUUUAUUGGGCUUAAAGCGUUCGUAGCUGGGUUGUUAAGUCUCUUGGGAAAUCUGGCGGCUUAACCGUCAGGCGUCUAAGGGAUACUGGCAAUCUUGGAACCGGGAGAGGUGAGGGGUACUUCGGGGGUAGGAGUGAAAUCCUGUAAUCCUCGAGGGACCACCUGUGGCGAAGGCGCCUCACCAGAACGGCUUCGACAGUGAGGGACGAAAGCUGGGGGAGCAAACCGGAUUAGAUACCCGGGUAGUCCCAGCCGUAAACGAUGCGCGUUAGGUGUAUCGGUGACCACGAGUUACCGAGGUGCCGAAGGGAAACCGUGAAACGUGCCGCCUGGGAAGUACGGUCGCAAGGCUGAAACUUAAAGGAAUUGGCGGGAA